rnacentral:lncRNA from 10 species
CUCCCAAGUAGCUGGGACUACAGAAGUGCGCCACCAUACCUGGCUAAUUUUUGUAUUUUUUGUAGAGACAGGGUUUUGUCAUGUUGCCCAGGCUGGUCUUGAACUCCUGGCCUCAAGUGAUCCAUCCGCCUUGGCCUUCCAAAGUGCUGGGAUUACAGGUGUGAGCCACUGUACCCAGCCCCGUAGGCUCUUCUUAUAAUGUGACAUUAACAUUAUUCCACUGAGAGGUAGAGAGGGUUCCCUCACCUUGGACCUGGGCAAGGGUCUGCGUUCCCUCACACUGAUUAACUGUCUCUAUCAAUAAUUGCAGAGGUAGAAGUGAAACUAUGUAAUUCUAAAAGAUUAUACAAGGCAGUAUAGAUUCCACUUGGUUCUCUCUCUUAGGACAUGUGCCUUCGGAGUCCUGAACCAACAUGUAAGAAUUUAGCUACCCUGGAUCACCAUGCUGGUGAGACCACAUGGAACAAACAUACAGAGAUGCCCAACGAGCUCCAGCUGUGCCAGUACCUAGUUGCUCAAGUCUUCCAGCUUGAGAUAUUGUUCAUAUGCAGCAAAAUUCACC